rnacentral:piRNA from 1 species
UAACAUGUGCCUAAAAUAGAA